rfam:Burkholderia udeis isolate LMG 27134 genome assembly, contig: contig000010
CCAUCCGUCUUUGGGGAGUAGCCGGCUUCCAUUCACUGGGAGCGCUCAUGUCAACACGCUUGGUUCGAUCGAACCGUGGCAUGAGCAACCGUUAGCUUUUUGGUUGGCAAGACCAUCGAUGUGUCGGGGAGACCGGUCGGGCUCGCCGCUGCAUCGCAUGUUCUCGCCCGACCUGAAUGGCU